GACGAACGCUGGCGGCGUGCUUAACACAUGCAAGUCACGGGGGUCCCGGGGGCAACCUUGGGAUAACCGGCGAACGGGUGCGUAACACGUGAACAACCUGCCUAGGUGUGGGGGAUAGCCGGCCCAACGGCCGGGUAAUACCGCAUAGGUUCUUCUGGGGGAGUCCUUGGGAGAGCAAACCUGUCGCAAGACGGGGCAUUUAGAGGGGCUCGCGGCCUAUCAGCUAGUUGGCGGGGUAAUGGCCCACCAAGGCGACGACGGGUAGCUGGUCUGAGAGGAUGGCCAGCCACAUUGGGACUGAGAAACGGCCCAGACUCCUACGGGAGGCAGCAGUGGGGAAUCUUGCGCAAUGGCCGAAAGGCUGACGCAGCGACGCCGCGUGUGGGAGGAAGCUCUUC
rnacentral:rRNA from 1 species